rnacentral:rRNA from 1 species
AUUGAACGCUGGCGGCAGGCCUAACACAUGCAAGUCGAGCGGUAGAGAGAAGCUUGCUUCUCUUGAGAGCGGCGGACGGGUGAGUAAUGCCUAGGAAUCUGCCUGGUAGUGGGGGAUAACGUUCGGAAACGGACGCUAAUACCGCAUACGUCCUACGGGAGAAAGCAGGGGACCUUCGGGCCUUGCGCUAUCAGAUGAGCCUAGGUCGGAUUAGCUAGUUGGUGGGGUAAUGGCUCACCAAGGCGACGAUCCGUAACUGGUCUGAGAGGAUGAUCAGUCACACUGGAACUGAGACACGGUCCAGACUCCUACGGGAGGCAGCAGUGGGGAAUAUUGGACAAUGGGCGAAAGCCUGAUCCAGCCAUGCCGCGUGUGUGAAGAAGGUCUUCGGAUUGUAAAGCACUUUAAGUUGGGGGGAAGGGCAGUAAAUUAAUACUUUGCUGUUUUGACGUUACCGACAGAAUAAGCACCGGCUAGCUCUGUG